UUCUAUUUCAUUAUGUAUUUACUUUAUACAAUAGUUAAUUUAUUAUUUCUCUAUUUCUACAGAUUCUAUCUAAGAUAAAUGAGUGAGAAGAUUGAAGUUUAUUUUAAUACAAGUGAAAAAGCAAGUCGUCUCCUAUGGUGUUUUAUCAGUUAAGUUAUCAUCUGGGAGACUUGUAGUUAAUUAAGAUGAGCAUACAUACAUACUAUAUUAUACAGGGUUUCGCAAGCAAGCGGGUUUCUUCAAUAACUGCUUUAUAGUUGAAGAUAUCAAAAAAAGUUUCUUAUAAAAGUGCUACCAUAUAGGAACAUUAGAAAACACCAGAUGCCAUUAAAUUAAGGAGCAUCUGUUGUAUCACUCCUCAUUUGUUCAAUUGAGUAGAAGUAUACUUAUGGUCCUAAAGAAAGCAUGGAAGUGCCUUUUUUCCAUUGGGAAUAAAAAGACAGUGUGCUGUUGCUGUAGAAAAGAUUCAUGACAGUGAACUGAUUGUCUAACGAACAAAUGAGAGGGAAAAUUGCAGUUAAUUUUGAUGCUGCAGAAAAAACCGAUGCUUUUGACGUCUUCACCUUGCAACAUUGUGCAGUUAAUUUUGGCCCUGAGAGUGAGAGACAAUUGGAAAUUAAUUUGAAAGCCACUUAAAUAACAAAUUGUCUGUGGUAUCAUUCCUAGAUUUGGUUUGCUCAAUACACUGAUGAACUUUAGAACACUACUUUUUACUAAGG